GAUGAACGCUGGCGGCGUGCUUAACACAUGCAAGUCGAACGGAAAGGCCCAAGCUUGCUUGGGUACUCGAGUGGCGAACGGGUGAGUAACACGUGGGUGAUCUGCCCUGCACUUCGGGAUAAGCCUGGGAAACUGGGUCUAAUACCGGAUAGGACCACAUUUUGGAUGGUGUGGUGGAAAGUUUUUCGGUGUGGGAUGAGCUCGCGGCCUAUCAGCUUGUUGGUGGGGUAAUGGCCCACCAAGGCGUCGACGGGUAGCCGGCCUGAGAGGGUGUACGGCCACAUUGGGACUGAGAUACGGCCCAGACUCCUACGGGAGGCAGCAGUGGGGAAUAUUGCACAAUGGGCGCAAGCCUGAUGCAGCGACGCCGCGUGGGGGAUGACGGCCUUCGGGUUGUAAACUCCUUUCGCUAGGGACGAAGCGCAGGUGACGGUACCUGGAGAAGAAGCACCGGCUAACUACGUG
rnacentral:rRNA from 1 species